UACGGGGGGGGGCAAGCGUUGUUCGGAAUUACUGGGCGUAAAGGGCUCGUAGGCGGCCAACUAAGUCAAACGUGAAAUCCCUCGGCUUAACCGGGGAACUGCGCUUGAUACUGGAUGGCUUGAGAUUGGGAGAGGGAUGCGGAAUUCCAGGUGUAGCGGUGAAAUGCGUAGAUAUCGAGAGGAACACCGGUGGCGAAGGCGGCCUUCUGGACAGUGACUGACGCUGAGACGCGAAAGCGUGGGGAGCAAACAGG
rnacentral:rRNA from 1 species